rnacentral:rRNA from 1 species
AUACGAAGGGUGCAAGCGUUACUCGGAAUUACUGGGCGUAAAGCGUGCGUAGGUGGUUGUUUAAGUCUGUCGUGAAAGCCCUGGGCUCAACCUGGGAACUGCGAUGGAAACUGGGCGACUAGAGUGUGGUAGAGGGUAGCGGAAUUCCUGGCGUAGCAGUGAAAUGCGUAGAUAUCAGGAGGAACAUCCAUGGCGAAGGCAGCUACCUGGGCCAACACUGACACUGAGGCACGAAAGCGUGGGGAGCAAACAGGAUUAGAUACCCUGGUAGUCCACGCCCUAAACGAUGCGAACUGGAUGUUGGGUGCACUUUGGCACGCAGUAUCGAAGCUAACGCGUUAAGUUCGCCGCCUGGGGAGUACGGUCGCAAGACUGAAACUCAAAUGAAUUGACGGGG